rnacentral:rRNA from 1 species
GACAGAGGUGCCAAGCGUUAGGCGGAAUCACUGGGCUUAAAGCGUGUGUAGGCGGAUGCCUAAGUACCUUGUGAAAUCCCACGGCUCAACCGUGGAACUGCUUGGCAUACUGGCGGUCUUGAGCAACCUAGGGGCGAGCGGAACAAAUGGUGGAGCGGUGAAAUGCGUAGAUAUCAUUUGGAACGCCAAUGGUGAAAACAGCUCGCUGGGGGUUUGCUGACGCUGAGACACGAAAGCCAGGGGAGCAAACGGG